rnacentral:rRNA from 1 species
ACGCUCGACACCUACGUGAGGCAGCAGUGGGGAAUAUUGCACAAUGGGGGAAACCCUGAUGCAGCGACGCCGCGUGAGCGAAGAAGUAUUUCGGUAUGUAAAGCUCUAUCAGCAGGGAAGAAACUGACGGUACCUGACUAAGAAGCACCGGCUAAAAUACGUGCUAGCAGCCGCGGUAAUCUGAGCGGGCUGGCAAGGC